UUACAUCGUAAAAUAGAAUAUUGAAAGUUUUUCUAUACAAAAGAAAGAAUGUUCAAAGUGACAAUUUAGUUUAUAUAUUUAAUUGGAGACCAUUUAUUACCGUUGCCCACUUAUAAGCUUUAAGUAGUAAAAGAACUCAAAUAUUUACAAAAAAAAUAGUUUAAGGUUCGUUUACUUGGACAUGGCCACAACCGUUUGGUUUGCAAAAUUAUUUUUUUGACAAGGGGUUCGUAUAAAAUUUAUUCAAUUAACAAAAGAUUGCUUUCAACAAAGUGUGUUCUAGGAACAACGUUUUCCCCUCCUUUUUUUUUGUCGACCAACGUUUCCCUCUCCUAGGUUUAGGUAAAUAAUCAAAAUUUAAAUAUUAGGAUUUUAGAAAUUUUCCAAAUAUCGGAUGAAGUUUCGUGAAUAAAUUAUUUAGCUGACUCAAGUGUUAUAAGUGUGUUUAUAAUUUUAUGACACACAUUUGGCAUUGCAUUCAAGUAAUUUAAUGUUUGGCAGAUGUUUGAGCAAAAACCACGGACAGUGGACAUCAAAUUUUGAUGUCCCGUUACGUUUCAAUGUUUUGUUCUAGAAAAAUGGGAGAAACUAUAAACACAUGCACAUAGUUUUUGUUAAGGCCAGACAGCUCCUGAUUUACAAAAAUAAAAAAACUUAUAGGCCAGAAUAACUAUAUAAAACUCUAUUUUUUUUUUUUUUUUUUUUUUUAUAAAACUCUAUUUCGAGUUUCCAAAAUUAUUAAAAUAUGUUUAUGCAAAGUUUAAUAAUUCUUAUAUCCGUUAAAAAAAUUCUUAUAUCCGUUUAGUCAUCUAUCAUCAAUACUUAUGCAGUUACAAAAUUUGUUUAGUACUGCUUAUACACGAACGAAACAUGCACUAUAAUAUUAUCAAAAUAUUCACAUCAGGAACGUCACAAGCUAGAUGUUUGUUGUACUUUCGAGUUUCGACUGACG
rnacentral:lncRNA from 1 species